rnacentral:rRNA from 1 species
UACGAAGGGGGCUAGCGUUGCUCGGAAUCACUGGGCGUAAAGGGUGCGUAGGCGGGUCUUUAAGUCAGGGGUGAAAUCCUGGAGCUCAACUCCAGAACUGCCUUUGAUACUGAGGAUCUUGAGUUCGGGAGAGGUGAGUGGAACUGCGAGUGUAGAGGUGAAAUUCGUAGAUAUUGGGAAGAACACCGGUGGCGAAGGCGGCUCUCUGGACCGACACUGACGCUGAGGCGCGAAAGCGUGGGGAGCAAACAGG